AUGCUUAAGCCCAACCAAUCGAGCUGCUCGUAGGGCGAGUCUUGGCGUGGCCAUAGUGGGAUUCGUAAUUUUGCUUCCCGAAAUGCUGUCUGGACU